rnacentral:rRNA from 1 species
UGGGGAAUAUUGCACAAUGGAGGGAACUCUGAUGCAGCGACGCCGCGUGAACGAAGAAGGCUUUCGAGUCGUAAAGUUCUUUUAUAUGGGAAGAUAAUGACGGUACCAUAAGAAAAAGCCCCGGCUAACUACGUGCCAGCAGCCGCGGUAAUACGUAGGGGGCUAGCGUUGUCCGGAAUCACUGGGCGUAAAGGGUUCGCAGGCGGAAAUGCAAGUCAGGUGUAAAAGGCAGUAGCUUAACUACUGUAAGCAUUUGAAACUGCAUAUCUUGAGAAGAGUAGAGGUAAGUGGAAUUUUUAGUGUAGCGGUGAAAUGCGUAGAUAUUAAAAAGAAUACCGGUGGCGAAGGCGGCUUACUGGGCUCAUUCUGACGCUGAGGAACGAAAGAGUGGGUAGCAAACAGG